rnacentral:rRNA from 1 species
GCGGCCUAUCAGCUUGUUGGUGAGGUAAUGGCUCACCAAGGCAACGACGGGUAGCCGGCCUGAGAGGGCGACCGGCCACACUGGGACUGAGACACGGCCCAGACUCCUACGGGAGGCAGCAGUGGGGAAUAUUGGGCAAUGGAGGAGACUCUGACCCAGCGACGCCGCGUGCGGGAUGAAGGCCUUCGGGUUGUAAACCGCUUUCAGUAGGGAAGAAGCGAAAGUGACGGUACCUACAAAAGAAGCACCGGCUAACUAUGUGCCAGCAGCCGCGGUAAUACAUAGGGUGCAAGCGUUGUCCGGAAUUAUUGGGCGUAAAGAGCUCGUAGGUCGUUUGUUACGUCGGAUGUGAAAACCUGAGGCUCAACCUCAGGCCUGCAUUCGAUACGGGCAAACUAGAGUUUGGUAGGGGAGACUGGAAUUCCU